rnacentral:rRNA from 1 species
AAGUCGUAACAAGGUUUCCGUAGGUACGUAAUAUAUCGAAAUCUCCUCUCUACCUUGUAACCAUCCACUAACAUUCUUCUAGGUGAACCUGCGGAAGGAUCAUUAAAGAGUUAGGGUCUUCUAGGCCCGACCUCCCAACCCUGUGUUUAACAAACCAUUUGUUGCUUCGGCGGGCCCGUCUUUAUUGACCGCCGGAGGACCGUCGAGAGACGCCCUCUGGCCAGCGCCCGCCGAUGGCCAACUAUACCUAAACUCUGAAUAAACAUGCCUAUGUCUAAGUUAUUUAUUAAAUAAAGCAAAACUUUCAACAACGGAUCUCUUGGUUCUGGCAUCGAUGAAGAACGCAGCGAAAUGCGAUAAGUAAUGCGAAUUGCAGAAUUCCAGUGAGUCAUCGAAUCUUUGAACGCACAUUGCGCCCUUUGGUAUUCCGAAGGGCAUGCCUGUUCGAGCGUCAUUAUCACCCCUCAAGCCCCUGGGCUUGGUGUUGGACGGUUUGGUGAAGCCUCCGGGCGUCACCCCUCCUAAAGACAAUGACGGCGGCCUGUUGGAACCCCCGGUACAUUGAGCUUCUUAACUGAGCACGUAUCGGAUCAAGGGAACCCAGGCCCCGGUCUUCUCCCUUUAUUGGGAAACUCCUUUUUAAGGUUGACCUCGGAUCAGGUAGGAAUACCCGCUGAACUUAA